rnacentral:misc_RNA from 1 species
GAUGAAGAACGUAGCGAAAUGCGAUAAGUAAUGUGAAUUGCAGAAUUCAGUGAAUCAUCGAAUCUUUGAACGCACAUUGCGCCCGCCAGUAUUCUGGCGGGCAUGCCUGUCCGAGCGUCAUUUCAACCCUCGAACCCCUCCGGGGGGUCGGCGUUGGGGACCUCGGGAGCCCCUAAGACGGGAUCCCGGCCCCGAAAUACAGUGGUGGUCUCGCCGCAGCCUCUCCUGCGCAGUAGUUUGCACAACUCGCACCGGGAGCGCGGCGCGUCCACGUCCGUAAAACACCCAACUUCUGAAAUGUUGACCUCGUAUCAGGUAGGAAUACCCGCUGAACUUAAGCAUAUCAAUAAGCGGAGGA